rnacentral:lncRNA from 1 species
UGUAAGGCCUAACCAACCACAUCAUCUUCCCCUGACUCAGUCCGUAUCUCCUUCGGUCGGAGUCCUCAGCGCUGGCAAGGGAUAAUAAACGGCCUUUCCGCAGCAAUACGUGGUCAACGGAACAGCCCACAACAGAGUGAUUCAUCUGGAAAGCCACCUGCAUGCUGAUCUGUGCGCGCAGGGGUUUGGUGAGAGGUGUUGCAUCCUUCAGCUGAAGAUAACGCGGCUUUAUCAGAUCUUCCUUGGCACUAUCAGAGUUUCAGAAGAUGGGUUUUAA